rnacentral:rRNA from 1 species
AUUGAACGCUGGCGGCAGGCUUAACACAUGCAAGUCGAGCGAGCGGCGGACGGGUGAGUAAUGUCUGGGAAACUGCCUGAUGGAGGGGGAUAACUACUGGAAACGGUAGCUAAUACCGCAUACCAUCAGAUGUGCCCAGAUGGGAUUAGCGAGUAGGUGGGGUAAUGGCUCACCUAGGCGACGAUCCCUAGCUGGUCUGAGAGGAUGACCAGCCACACUGGAACUGAGACACGGUCCAGACUCCUACGGGAGGCAGCAGUGGGGAAUAUGGCACAAGGGGCGAAAGGAUGAUGAAGCCAUGCCGCGUGGAUGAAGAAGGCCUUCGGGUUGUAAAGUACUUUCAGUCGGGAGGCGUUACCGACAGAAGAAGCACCGGCUAACUACGUGCCAGCCGCCGCGGUAAUAC